ensembl:snRNA U6 U6 spliceosomal RNA
GUGCUCACUUCCACAGAAUAUAUACUAAAACUGGAACCACACAGAAAUUAGCAGGGCCCCUGUGCAAGGAUAACAUGCAAAUUAGUGAAGCACUCCAUAUUUUU